ensembl:lncRNA
AGGGGCGGGAGCGGCGGCGGAGCGAGCGGAGCCAUGUCGGGCCGGGAGGGUAAGGCCGGGCCCGGGACCCGCCGGUGCCGCCCGCCCGGCCCCGCCCGGCCCUCACUGUGUCCUCUGUCUUUGCAGGCGGCAAGAAGAAGCCGCUGAAGCAGCCGAAGAAGCAGACGAAGGACCUGGAUGAGACAGAUCUGGCAUUCAAACAAAAGCAGAAGGAGGAGCAAAAGAAACUUGAGGAGAUGAAAGCAAAAGCUGCUGGAAAAGGGCCUCUGGCCAGUGGUGGAAUAAAGAAGUCUGGCAAAAAGUAGUUUGAUUAAACUGCAGGGUAAGAAGUGAUCGAGUUACUCAAUGGAUUUGCAGACUUCAGAGAGUCAUGAAAACUCACUGUCAUUUUGGGAACAUUGUACAUUUUGUUUAGUCUGAAUAAAUACUUUUUGUUAAGAUGUGAUACUUUCUCU